rnacentral:tRNA from 1 species
GCCACUGUAGCUCAGCUGGUAGAGCACCGCAUUCGUAAUGCGGGGGUCACCGGUUCGAUCCCGGUCAGUGGCU